rnacentral:rRNA from 1 species
CAUGCAAGUCGAGCGGUAGCACAGAGGAGCUUGCUCCUUGGGUGACGAGCGGCGGACGGGUGAGUAAAGUCUGGGGAUCUGCCUGAUGGAGGGGGAUAACUACUGGAAACGGUAGCUAAUACCGCAUGACGUCUUCGGACCAAAGUGGGGGACCUUCGGGCCUCACGCCAUGAGAUGAACCCAGAUGGGAUUAGCUGGUAGGUGAGGUAACGGCUCACCUAGGCGACGAUCCCUAGCUGGUCUGAGAGGAUGACCAGCCACACUGGAACUGAGACACGGUCCAGACUCCUACGGGAGGCAGCAGUGGGGAAUAUUGCACAAUGGGGGAAACCCUGAUGCAGCCAUGCCGCGUGUGUGAAGAAGGCCUUCGGGUUGUAAAGCACUUUCAGCGGGGAGGAAGGCAAUGAGCUUAAUAAGUUUGUUGAUUGACGUUACCCGCAGAAGAAGCACCGGCUAACUCCGUGCCAGCAGCCGCGGUAAUACGGAGGGUGCAAGCGUUAAUCGGAAUGACUGGGCGUAAAGCGCACGCAGGCGGUCUGUUAAGUUGGAUGUGAAAUCCCCGGGCUCAACCCGGGAACAGCAUUCAAAACUGACAGGCUAGAGUCUCGUAGAGGGGGGUAGAAUUCCAGGUGUAGCGGUGAAAUGCGUAGAGAUCUGGAGGAAUACCGGUGGCGAAGGCGGCCCCCUGGACGAAGACUGACGCUCAGGUGCGAAAGCGUGGGGAGCAAACAGGAUUAGAUACCCUGGUAGUCCACGCUGUAAACGAUGUCGACUUGGAGGUUGUGGUCUUGAACCGUGGCUUCCGGAGCUAACGCGUUAAGUCGACCGCCUGGGGAGUACGGCCGCAAGGUUAAAACUCAAAUGAAUUGACGGGGGCCCGCACAAGCGGUGGAGCAUGUGGUUUAAUUCGAUGCAACGCGAAGAACCUUACCUACUCUUGACAUCCAGAGAAGACUGUAGAGAUACGGUUGUGCCUUCGGGAGCUCUGAGACAGGUGCUGCAUGGCUGUCGUCAGCUCGUGUUGUGAAAUGUUGGGUUAAGUCCCGCAACGAGCGCAACCCUUAUCCUUUGUUGCCAGCACUUCGGGUGGGAACUCAAAGGAGACUGCCGGUGAUAAACCGGAGGAAGGUGGGGAUGACGUCAAGUCAUCAUGGCCCUUACGAGUAGGGCUACACACGUGCUACAAUGGCGCAUACAAAGAGAAGCGAGCCUGCGAGGGUGAGCGGACCUCAUAAAGUGCGUCGUAGUCCGGAUUGGAGUCUGCAACUCGACUCCAUGAAGUCGGAAUCGCUAGUAAUCGUAGAUCAGAAUGCUACGGUGAAUACGUUCCCGGGCCUUGUACACACCGCCCGUCACACCAUGGGAGUGGGUUGCAAAAGAAGUAGGUAGCUUAACCUUAGGGGGGGCGCU